GAAAUGCGAUAAGUGAUGUGAAUUGCAGGAUUCCGUGAAUCAUCAAAUCUUUGAACGCAAGUUGCACCUCUCGGCUCUCCGGGAGGUACACUCGUUUGAGCGUCACCCCAUCACCUCAAAAUCCUCCAGGUUUUUGGAAACGGGCCUCCCUCAAGCCAGAUGGCUUGACGUUGCCUGAGUUGGAUGGAAGGCAAUGAGAUGGACUUUGAGAUCAGCACUGCAGUUGUGGGCGGGUCGCAAGACACCAAACCCUCAAUUGUAGGGUCUCAUGAGUUCAUCCCAUACUUUCCAUGGGAAAACCCAUAAAUGGGUUUAAUACUCACCUCAGUGACCUCAAAUCGAGUGAAGCUACCCGCCGAAUUUAA
rnacentral:misc_RNA from 1 species